rnacentral:rRNA from 1 species
UACGGAGGGUGCAAGCGUUACUCGGAAUCACUGGGCGUAAAGGGUGCGUAGGCUGGCUUCUAAGUCAGAUGUGAAAUCCAAUGGCUUAACCAUUGAACUGCAUUUGAAACUGGAAGCCUAGAGUUCAGAAGGGGCAGAUGGAAUUAGUGGUGUAGGGGUAAAAUCCGUAGAUAUCACUAGGAAUAUCAAAAGCGAAGGCGAUCUGCUGGGAUGAUACUGACGCUGAGGCACGAAAGCGUGGGGAGCAAACAGG